CAACCAACAACUGAACUCUGCUCUUCGGACAAGAGGAAGUGAUUCCUGGUCAAUUUCCAGAGAACCUUCCUUCAUAUCGUGCAUCAUGUCUUCCUCAUUAUCAUCACCCACAGAUUUUGACUGUCCACUAUUUUCCCUUUCAGAAAAAAGAACUUUAAUCAAUUCCCAGAUCAUCACUUGAUGCAUCAAAACCAAACGUGCAGAUGACGGAAGCCCUGGAACCUCCAGCUGCUUUUCAAUGAUGUCUAUGUAACUCCGACAAAUCUCUGAAAGUAUUAAGCGAUUAGAAAGAACUUUUUGGAGCUUUAGUUUAAAGGAACCAACUUCAACUUCUUUUGUUUCAUGAUUUAUUGUUUUGUGGAGAUUUAAAGGGGAGUCAAAAGCAAACUCAACUAGAUCCUUUUUGGUGUUAUUAUUUUCAUCUCUGACUACUCUGUCUAUUGCAACCUUCUCUACAUUAAUUACAGAAGCUAACAACCUUUGAGAACCAUUAAAUCCAACAGGGGCACCAGGGUGAACAAGGACACCAUUUGGACCCCAACCUACACGAAAUGACCUACCCAUGAACAAACCAGCAUCAACUAUGUUGCGAGAAUGGCUUCCAGUUAUUGGUGUCUCAUGCUUCAGGUCCAGCCUAAAUCCUUCUCCCCUCAUUGCCUUUAAAGGCAGGCCCUUAUUUUGUUGGGUCAUCAAAAUGGUUCCAGGGGAACUAGAAUCAAAACUACCAGGAUUGUACUCAAGCAGACCCAAUGGUGUUUUCCUUGCAACAGGAAUGCUAGAUCUAUGGCUCAUUUUCUGAGCAGAAUUCAAUAAAGGAUGUCUUGC
rnacentral:misc_RNA from 1 species